GGAGUCGGCCAGACAGUCGCGUCACCCCUUGCGGGUGCCGAGGAAAGUCCGGGCUCCACAGGGCAAGGUGCCAGGUAACGCCUGGGCGGCGCAAGCCGACGGAAAGUGCAACAGAAAGAUACCGCCUACGUUCCUUUCGAGGAGCCGGCAAGGGUGAAAUGGUGCGGUAAGAGCGCACCGCGAGUCUGGCAACAGACCGGCACGGCAAACCCCACCUGGAGCAAGACCAAAUAGGGAUCCAUUGGCGUGGCCCGCGCUGGAUCCGGGUAGGUUGCUUGAGCGGCACGGUGACGUGCCGCCUAGAGGAAUGACUGUCCACGACAGAACCCGGCUUAUCGGCCGGCUCCGCCU
rfam:Stenotrophomonas koreensis strain DSM 17805 contig_31, whole genome shotgun sequence.